UGGGCAACCUGCCCUCAGCUCUGGGAUAACCCCGGGAAAACCGGGGCUAAUACCGGAUACGACCUCCGCGGGCAUCUGCGGAGGUGGAAAGGUUUUCCGGCUGAGGAUGGGCCCGCGGCCUAUCAGCUAGUUGGUGGGGUGAUGGCCCACCAAGGCGACGACGGGUAGCCGGCCUGAGAGGGCGACCGGCCACACUGGGACUGAGACACGGCCCAGACUCCUACGGGAGGCA
rnacentral:rRNA from 1 species